UUAUGAAAAUUACAGUUUAGUCCCCAAACUUUGGAAAUAUUACAGAUUGGUCCCUGGGGCAUAAAUUGAGGUUCUGAACAGAACUGAGGAUGAUUUAAGGGAAAAAUUCCAGUAUAAUUAGGAAUAUAUGAUAUUUUCAGUUUGGUCCUCCAAUUUGACAAGUUACGAUUUGACCCCUAAAAUUUUGAUAAAAUCACAGUUUGGCUCUUGGGGCAUAAUUCGAGAUUCUAGACAAAGAUAAGGAUGAAUUAUGGAUAAAUUUCAGUAUGGUUAUGUAUUUACAGUUUGGUCCAAUUUUGGUAAAAUUACGUUUUGGUCCCUGUUUUGGAUAAUUGUUGUUUUAGUCCCUAAACCUAGGAUACUAAACCUGGUUUUCAUUUAUGCAUUGGAAUCUUUUAUUUGUGUUGCUUUGAGUUGCUUUUGAGUAUAUUUCAUAUAUUUAUUGUAGGUUCUCCUAACGAUCCUCAAUAGGUUUUUUCGGGUCUUUCAUCUGACAUUCCUUUUAGUUCUAUAUUUUCCGGGUUCUUAGUUUCUGAUAGCAGGUGAACCUUGUUGAGUGUUCCUGCUUCUUCAGUUUUGGGUCGGUAUGCCUUGCUUAUCUUUCAAGGCUGUUUGAUUCGAUGUCUUAGGCGCUCUACUAUUAUCUUGUUUUAAUUAAGUUUGGAUUUUUGACAAUGUAAUGAGUAUUAUGGAUUAUUGUUUUUGUUUUAAAUUACUGAUGAGGAGUUUUAAACUAUCUUUUGGUUUCAUCAGUUUUUGAAUAAUAUAAUAUUUCUGAAGAUUAUGAAA